AUGUAUUCCUUUCAAUCCUUGCUCCUUCUGCUCCUGCUUUUCUCCUUCAUUCUCUGGCUUUCGCAAAUCGAAUCAGCCGCGAUAUGUAUACUGCAGUUCUUAUGGCAAUCCCGUAUAGUUACAGAAAUGGGAGGAGAGGAAAGAUUCAUAGGAAAUAAUAUGAAAGUAAGGUUGAAGAAGCGUUAUGGAUUAUAG